rnacentral:rRNA from 1 species
AUUGAACGCUGGCGGCAUGCCUUACACAUGCAAGUCGAACGGUAACGCGGGGCAACCUGGCGACGAGUGGCGAACGGGUGAGUAAUGCAUCGGAACGUGCCCGGUAGUGGGGGAUAGCCCGGCGAAAGCCGGAUUAAUACCGCAUACGACCUACGGGUGAACGCGGGGGACCGUCAGGCCUCGCGCUAUUUGAUCGGCCGAUGUCAGAUUAGGUUGUUGGUGGGGUAAAAGCCUACCAAGCCGACGAUCUGUAGCUGGUCUGAGAGGACGACCAGCCACAAGUGGACUCAGACACGGCUCAGACUCCUACGGGAGGCAGCAGUGGGGAAUUUUGGACAAUGGGGGCAACCCUGAUGCAGCCAUGACGCGUGCGGGAAGAAGGCCUUCGGGUUGUAAACCGCUUUUGUCAGGGAAGAAACGCUAUGGGCUAAUACCCCGGGGUAAUGACGGUACCUGAAGAAUAAGCACCGGCUAACUACGUGCCAGCCGCCGCAGUAAAAC